AUUGAACGCUGGCGGCAGGCCUAACACGUGCAAGUCGAGCGGAUGAAGGGAGCUUGCUCCUGGAUUCAGCGGCGGACGGGUGAGUAAUGCCUAGGAAUCUGCCUGGUAGUGGGGGAUAACGUCCGGAAACGGGCGCUAAUACCGCAUACGUCCUGAGGGAGAAAGUGGGGGACCUUCGGACCUCACGCUAUCAGAUGAGCCUAGGUCGGAUUAGCUAGUUGGUGGGGUAAAGGCCUACCAAGGCGACGAUCCGUAACUGGUCUGAGAGGAUGAUCAGUCACACUGGAACUGAGACACGGUCCAGACUCCUACGGGAGGCAGCAGUGGGGAAUAUUGGACAAUGGGCGAAAGCCUGAUCCAGCCAUGCCGCGUGUGUGAAGAAGGUCUUCGGAUUGUAAAGCACUUUAAGUUGGGAGGAAGGGCAGUAAGUUAAUACCUUGCUGUUUUGACGUUACCAACAGAAUAAGCACCGGCUAACUUCGUG
rnacentral:rRNA from 1 species